rnacentral:ncRNA from 2 species
CCUUUAUCCCGUGGUGAUUUGGCCGGUCGGCUUGCAGCCACGUUAAAGAAGUCGCUAAAAGGCCGUGCUCGACCAUCG